rnacentral:lncRNA from 1 species
AACAAGUUACGGAAGUAGGCCGAGGCCUAUGUUAAGUUAGAUAUUGUAUAUAGUUUUGUUUUCUUAAUUAAAAUGCUACGACGAGUCUUUUAUGAGUUAAAUUUGUUUAAUUAGGGCCGAUAUUGGUAUUAAAGUCGGUUGUAUUGUUGUUGAGGUAUUACUGUCGGACGGGUGGUACUCGACGAGUCUAUCUUUGGAUCUGUGGUGGUUUUCCUUAGAAGAAAGGCAUGGAUGGUAGUCAAUUCGGAUCUAGGCUCUUUUGCAAUGCCGAGGUAGUACGAUUACAUGCAAACCACGAUUCAAACAGGACGGUGUGGGCUGGAUACCAAUCAGCAGGGCCUAUUUAUUGGGAUCGAUGAGGUCGGGCUUUAGGCUGCUCCGUCUUUUUAGUUAGCUUGCCAACAAAGAGGGUUAUCAAACACCUCGAUAAUGGUGGAAUCUGGACUUAUGGAGUACAGAGCGCAUCGAUGAAUAAAGCUUUCAAUUAAAGUUAUCCUUGUGUAGGAUUUAGGGUAAUUACUUUCUAAGUCGGCCAAGCUCAUAUUAUCAUAUCAGAUGAGCGAAAAUUUCAUAAUGUAAUAAUCAUGUGAUGAUAUUAUGCCUUCAGAAUGGUAAUAUAAAUGAUUAUAUGCUCGCUUUUAUUUAAAAAGAAAAAAAUCUAAUAAAUUAUUGCUGCACUUAAUUCGGUACGAUUCAUUCUUCAGUAGUUAGAUUACUCGGUGAUUGUCGGGGAGGAAAUAUCUCACAAAUACAAUAUGACUUAUAAGUAGGCAGUUCAUACCCAAUUGUAGCGAUGAGUCAAACACUUUUUUGAUUAAAACUAAACACCUUAUAAGUGGUUAAAUUGUGAUCACGCUCAUUGAUGCGUGUCUCUUUCUAAUUACGUCUCCAAUUGUCAAUGACCCGAUUGAAUUAUCACCAAGUGUCUAAUGUGAAACAUUGGUUUUUGUUGUCCUAAUUUCCAAUGUAUAUGUUGGAUUGUCAAUUCAUUCCAUGUGCAUA